GACGCACGCUGGCGGCGUGCCUAAUACAUGCAAGUCGAGCGAAGCGGCGGAUGGGUGAGUAACGCGUGGGUAACCUGCCCUUAAGCUUGGGAUACCAUUUGGAACCAGAUGAUAAUUCCGGAUCCUAAAGGCUGGACCUGCGUUGAAUUAGCUAGUAGGUCAGGUAACGGCUUACCAAGGCGAUGAUGCAUAGCCGGGUUGAGAGGCUGAUCAGCCACAUUGGGACUGAGACACGGCCCAAACUCCUACGGGAGGCAGCAGUAGGGAAUCUUCCACAAUGGACGAAAGUCUGAUGGAGCAACGCCGCGUGAGUGAAGAAGGUUUUCGGAUCGUAAAGCUCUGUUGUUGGUGAAGCGUUAAUCGACCAGAAAGUCACGGCUAACUACGUGCCAGCAGCCGCGGUAAUAC
rnacentral:rRNA from 1 species